CAGCUCAAAUUUGAAAUCUGGCCUUCGGGUCCGAGUUGUAAUUUGUAGAGGAUGCUUUUGGCGCGGUGCCUUCCGAGUUCCCUGGAACGGGACGCCUUAGAGGGUGAGAGCCCCGUACGGUUGGACACCAAGCCUCUGUAAAGCUCCUUCGACGAGUCGAGUAGUUUGGGAAUGCUGCUCUAAAUGGGAGGUAAAUUUCUUCUAAAGCUAAAUAUUGGCCAGAGACCGAUAGCGCACAAGUAGAGUGAUCGAAAGAUGAAAAGCACUUUGAAAAGAGGGUUAAAUAGCACGUGAAAUUGUUGAAAGGGAAGCGUUUGCGACCAGACUUUUUCCUAGCGGAUCAUCCGGUGUUUUCACCGGUGCACUUUGCUAGGUUAAGGCCAGCAUCGGUUUCUGUAGGGGGAUAAAAGCUUGGGGAAUGUAGCUCCCUCGGGAGUGUUAUAGCCUCUUGCAUAAUACCCUUACGGGGACCGAGGACCGCGCUUUUGCAAGGAUGCUGGCGUAAUGGUUGUCAACGACCCGU
rnacentral:rRNA from 1 species